rnacentral:lncRNA from 10 species
CCUUUUCCCUUUCUGCCCUCUGCCAUGUGAGGUCACAGUGUUCCUCCCUCCUGAGGAUGCAGUGUUCAUGAAAGCAAACACUGGGCCCUCACCAGGCAACAAACCUGCUGGUGCCUUCAUCUUGGACUUCCCAGCCUUCGGAACUGUUAAGAAGCUCCACUGCGCUUUGUCCAUUGCAAGUUGAGAAGUGAGGCCCCAGCUGUCACAUACAGCAGUGGUGGCUGAGAGGAAGAACUGACACCUUUGUGCUAUCAGAGCACUUUGCAGAGGAGCUGUUAGUGGCCCUGUAGGAGUCUGCUGGCCAUACAUCUGGGUGUCAAAUCAAGAGAGCAUGAGAAGUUGGACAGGAAAGGUCCAAGGCAAAAUGGUUACUAAAGGCCAUCCCUGAUCCUGACCCUAAAAGAAGAAAAGGCCCUUUGCUCUUGGCAUGCUUUUGCAGGAGUGUCUCAGUCUGUUUGGGCUGCUAUAACAUUGACUGGGUGAUCUGCCUGCCUGGCCUCCCAAAGUGCUGGGGUUACAGGUGUGAGCCGCUGCACCAGGCCUUGAGGUCAGGAGUUCGAGACCAGCCUGGCCAACAUGGUGAAACCUGUCUUUACUAAAAAUACAGAAAUUAGCCAGGCAUGGAGGCGCAUGCCUGUAAUCCCAGCUACUGGGGAGGCUGAGGCAGGAGAAUCGCUUGAACCCAGAAGGUGGAGGUUGCGGUGAGCCCAGAUAGUGCCAUUGCACUCUAGCCUGGCCAACAAGAGUGAAACUCUGUCUCAAAAAAUAAAUAAACAAACAAACAAACAAC